rnacentral:rRNA from 1 species
GAUCAUGGCUCAGGGAUGAACGCUAGCGGCAGGCUUAAUACAUGCAAGUCUGGGGCAGCAGGUUUGUAGCAAUACAGAUGCUGGCGACCGGCAAACGGGUGCGGAACACGUACAGAACCUUCCUUUGAGCGGGGAAUAGCCCAGAGAAAUUUGGAUUAAUACCCCAUAGUAUAAUGAAGUGGCAUCACUUUAUUAUUAAAGAUUUAUCACUCGAAGAUGGCUGUGCGGCUGAUUAGGUAGUUGGCGGGGUAAAGGCCCACCAAGCCUGCGAUCAGUAACUGGUGUGAGAGCACGACCAGUCACACGGGCACUGAGACACGGGCCCGACUCCUACGGGAGGCAGCAGUAAGGAAUAUUGGUCAAUGGAGGCAACUCUGAACCAGCCAUGCCGCGUGGAGGAUGAAGGUCCUCUGGAUUGUAAACUUCUUUUAUAUGGGACGAAAAAGGCUUUUCUAAGUCGUCUGACGGUACCAUAUGAAUAAGCACCGGCUAACUCCGUG